rnacentral:lncRNA from 1 species
AGUUAGAGGAGAGCUCACCUCCAGACAGGACGGACAACAGCAGCCCAGCCCAGAGCAUCAUGGGAUUGGUCUCUCUGCAGGGAGGGGGCGCAGAAGGAAGAGGUUAAAAACUAAAUUAAAAAAGGGAAGAGAGAGGUUCAGUACGGAGUAGAGACUCCGAUUCCGGUCCGUACCCGAGACCUUGAGACCCGACCCGACCCGGAAAUCGGUCCCUUCUCCUCCCACUGUAGAACUGUACAAAAAAAAGUCAGGUUUUACUAAGGAACCAGUACAGGUUGCUGUACCUGUGCUGAAGAGAGACACAGCGUUUCGGCUGGGGAGCUUUAUUCAAUAUUUGCAGCCCCUCUCCGCUUUUACAGGCUACAGUGUUUACUUUAAGGGAGGAAUAUGGCGUGGUUAACUUCCGUAUGAUCUGCACCGAAGCCAGUUACAGUCCCUGGAGAGAGCGACGCCCUGUCUUGCUGGACAGCUACCGAAGCAAAUAUUUCCUCGGGAGAGUCAUGCAACUGGCUGGGGUUAUAUUUCUGGAUUGAUAUUAUAUCUCUGGACUUUGGAGCACACACGCGAGGAGCAGGACCAAAGCACAGUAUCGCGGGCGCCACCUAGCGGCCGUUGGUGCUGCGAAAGAGGAGGACCGGCAGCUUCGCGGUUUCUCUCCCGGAGUUCGUCGCCCCGCAUUCGGCGUGAGACCGCCAGCCGAGGCCGUGGUUUCAAAGGAGGCCUGGCGGUCAGGGCGGUGGUGAGCCGGUGUGUGCCGCCGAUUCUCGCUUUCGCUUUGUCACCCAGCUCUGAGUCAUGACACUAUACAAGCUACCAGAGCGUUAAAGCGAUGAAACCAACUACGUUUUGUUUUAUUUACAGUUUGUUGUUGUUGUUGUUGUUGUUGCUGCGUUACUAUCACUAAUGUUGACCAGUGUUACAGCUAGCUGGGUCACCGAAAAGGACUUUUAAUUGUUUUAAAAAAAUGAAAGUCUCAGAAACGUUAAGACAUUCGGAGUGGACUACAUUUGAUCACUCAGAAAGCGCAAUUUCCUCAGUCUGUUACAGUACAAAACGUAACCAGAGCAGGAAAAAAAAAACAACACAAAAACGCUUCUAGUGAGGUUAAAGUUUGCCCCCCCACAAAUAUGAACGAUUAAUAAGUAGUGUGGCUUGUUCAAGGAAAAUGCAAAUCUCACUUGUAUGUAAUUACAAAGCACUGUGUUUCAAUUCACGUAUUUUACACUGGGAUUAACAAGCAUCUAAUUGGGAUUAAUAAUAAAAUAAGGGGUCAAAUCCACCAGAAUUAUGUUAGAUGUUGUUGGGCUUCAAAACAGCACACCAUCCUCAUGCUCUCCAAUAAGGCUCUGCGUGGCUCGGCCCCUCAGUACCUGUCUGAACUAUUAUCGCCCUGCUCCCCACCUCGCAACCUUCUGACUCUGCUCUCCUGACUGUCCCCCCAAGCCCGUCUACACUCCUGCUGUAUUCAGUACCAACUGUCUACACAUUCUCAUCCUGUUUCUCUCCUGUAUUUUUGUUGCUGUGGUUUUUAUUGUUGUUGUUGUUGUUGCCGUUGUCUUUCUGUAAAGCCCUUUGAGAAGCCACCUUUAAAGGCGCUAUAUGAAAUAAAGUUUCUUCUUCUUAUCACACUUUAAUUAGCAUGACUUCAGUGUCAGCUUAAACUGAAUGUGCUCUGCUUUUCCUGGAUACACAAAAGGAUUGUAAAUCGGAGAGUUUUCACAGGAGGUCACUUCUGUUUUGACUGGACAUGAAGGGCCUGUCCCCUCUCUCUCUCUCCUAACUCCUUAACUCACCUGUGGGGCAUUCAGUCAGGGGACAGGCAUACAGCCACGUUAUUCUGUCCCACAGGUGGGUCUCAGUCUCUCUCCACAGCCCCUUCAGCUCCUGUCUCGGUGUCGAAGGGGGCGUCCAAUCCCACGAUGCUCUGGGCUGGGCUUCUGUUGUCUGUCCUGUCUGGUGGUGAGCUCUCCUUUCUGGGUCUCUGUGCGUCUGAAUUCAGUCGGGGCAGAGAAAUAGUGUGCUGUGUUGUGUGUGUAUAAGAGUGCGCUGUGGUGCUGUGUUGCCGUGUUAUGUGUAUAAAAGUGUGCUGUGUUGCGUGUGUGUACAAGAGUGCUGUGUUGCCUGUAUACAGUAAGAGUGUGCUGUGUGUGUAUGAGAGUGUUGUGUUGUUGUGUGUAUAAGUGUGCUGUGUUGUGCUGUGUGUGUAUGAGAGUGUUGUGUUGUGUGUAUAAGAGUGUGCUGUGUUGUGCUGUGUGUGUAUGAGAGUGUUGUGUUGCUGUGUUGUGUGUAUAAGGGUGUUGUGUUGCUGUGUUGUGUGUGUUUGAGAGUGUUGUGUUGUUGUGUGUAUUACAGUGUUGUGUCGCUGUGUUGUGUUGCUGUGUGUACUAGAGUGUUGUGUUGCUGUGUGUAUGAGAGUGUUGUGUUGCUGUGUGUACUAGAGUGUUGUGUUGCUGUGUUGUGUUGCUGUGUGUAUUAGAGUGUCGUGUUGCUGUGUUGUGUGUAUAAGAGUGCCGUGUUGCUGUGUGUAUAAGAGUGUCGUGUUGCUGUGUGUACUAGAGUGUUGUGUUGCUGUGUUGUGUGUAUUAGAGUGUCGUGUUGCUGUGUUGUGUUGCUGUGUGUACUAGAGUGUUGUGUUGCUGUCUCCCUCAGUCUCGGCGGCUCCUGUCUCCGUGUCGGUGAGGUUUGGGGGCUCAGUCUCUCUCCCCUGUGACGGAUCUGCCUACAGGGG